rnacentral:rRNA from 1 species
CCCUUAGAUGUCCUGGGCCGCACGCGCGUUACACUGAUGCAUUCAACGAGCUUAUAACCUUGGCCGAGAGGCCUGGGCAAUCUUGUUAACGUGCAUCGUGAUAGGGAUAGAUUAUUGAAAUUAUUAAUCUUGUACGAGGAAUUCCUAGUAAACGCAGAUCAUCAAUCUGCAUUGAUUACGUCCCUGCCCUUUGUACACACCGCCCGUCGCACCUACCGAUUGGAUGGUCCGGUGAAGCCUCGGGAUUGUGGUUCUUGCCGCUUUAUUGUGGCGUGACCGCGAGAACUUGUCUAAACCUUAUCAUCUAGAGGAAGGUGAAGUCGUAACA